GGGGCGGGGGUGUGUCAGUGUGCACCGCCCUGCCCACUGAUCAGAGCCAUCAGGGAGCACCUCGGCACUUGCCUGCUGCAUCCUCGGGGAGAACGAACAAGAACCUGGCCGACUGCCUGCUGUCCCAGGAGCAUCGCGUUGGGGCUGGGAUCCAGGAGACAAUGAGGCCCACCCCCGAGGAGGCAGAGGCAGAGGCAGAGGUGAGCCUCUGAGGCCCUCGGUGACCUGAGACCACUCAGUGUUGGGAUUUGAACUGGUUUCUGUCAAGCUCCUGGUCUCGGCGAAGCUUCCCACCUCCCGGCUGGCUCGUGGUGGGCCAUACCGUGGUGGCACGGGUAGAGUGGUCACAGGAGCCAAGGGAUGCACCUGCUUGCAACCCGUGAAGUGCCCGGGGGAAGUGCAGGGGUGCAGCACACU
rnacentral:lncRNA from 1 species